UUAUGAAGAUUAUUAUCACACUUUUUUAAAAACAACCUUGUGUUAUCGAUAAUUAUUUUUACGAAUGUAGAAAGAAACGUCAAAGAAAAAACUAAAUAAAAUGGACGCCGGUAAAGAAAACAGAAAAAAUGUGUGUCCAUAAAUGCUUUGUCCUAUUAUUACUUGGUAUAAAAUGUAAUAUCAAAUUUCGCAUGCGUAUUGCUGCCGUAGCCGAAUGGUUUGGUGCGUGACUACCAUUCGGAAUGCACAGAGAGAACAUAACUUCAUCCGUAUUUCUGUUGGAAAAUACAGGUAUCCCUUGUAUAACGCGGUCUUAUAUAACGCGGUUUCGAUAUAACGCGAUUUGGAAAAAUUAGGUUUCAGUACAACGCGAAAUUUAGGCUUAUAUAACGCGAAGGGAAAAUACAUAAUUAUAAAAUCUGGUAACACUAAUUUGCGUACUACAUAUAUAUAAUAUGUAAUGUAUUUUUAAUGUAAACCGGGAAUUACCCUUUUUUGCCUUCACAACAUGUGUGAGUAUACCAGAAAAGGAGCUUAAAAAAACCACCCACCAAAAACUGAUAACAGAUUUUGCAAUUAUAAAACCAGUAGAAGAACCACAAGGUCCCACAACUAGUUUCUUAUCCAAUAGCGAAAACUAUGUUGAAGAAAUAUCUUCUGAUGAAGCUAUUGCUCCCCCAAAACGCCCACGUGCAAAGAUCUUUGAAGACAGUGAAAUAG